rnacentral:rRNA from 1 species
CAAAUGUUUGUUAUUCUACUUAGCCAUGCUAGUCUUUGUAGUAAAUACUGGCAGACGGAUCAUUAACGCCUCACUUUUCUACUCUAUGAGAGGGAAUAACCUCCUCGAAGCUGAUGCUUUUAACCGAUCAUACAUUAUGCCUGCUGUGAUUUCUGUUCCAAAUGAUUUUUCGGCGCUGGAUGAUAUUGCUGCCUAUCAUUUUGUUGGUGAUGUAAUGACCCACCAACAUUAUUAUAGGUACUGCCUCUUAUAGGAGUGAGCCGGAGAUGAGUACUGUGACACAGAACCCCGCCCUAUGGGGCGCAGCAGGCGAGAAAACUUUUCUAUGUGCGAAAGCACGCGAGGAUGAUACGAGUGGUUUCUGCUAUAUAGUCUUUUGUCUCUCCACAAACACGCGAUCAAUAAGUAUAGGUGGUUCUGGUGUCGCCGCCGCCGAGAACUACCGGCUCCUCGGUCAUGAUGAUUAUUGUUGCUAACUAAACCGUAGUCGGCGGUCAUAAUUUUUCGUCAAAUCUGUACGCUCUACGCUGGGCUGCCCGGAUACUGCCAAGUGGCUUGUGGCAGAAGGAUCGGUACUCCGUACGAAGUAGUAUAUACUUUGAUUAUUGGUGACCCCUGCGAUGACGAAGGCUAUCGAGAACAUCCUACGAUGAUGAUGACAGCUGGUAGAGCCUCCAGAUUAUAACCCGGCUAGUCCCCCUGAUGACAUGAUACUCAUUGAUGAGUGCAUUGUACACACUCUGUGCUGCAGGAAGACGUCGAGUAUCCGCCUCUGAGGACUACGCCGUAUGAU